UAUAAGACGACUCGGCGUAUAAGAUGACCCCCGUCUUUGGCGCCGAUUUCAGCGCUCGCGGAAAUCACCUUAUACGCCGGCAUUUACAGUAUUUCUUCAAAAAUUCUUUUUUUCUUCCCUAAUGCUCUAAUGUUUUAAGAAUCUAGUGCUACAUAGAUCCUUAUCACACAUUUUUGGACUGAAUCCAUUAGACUGUAGUAUUAGAUAAACAUUUGGGGAACUCCCUCUAACAAAGCAGAUCUAAGAACAGUUCUUUUCUAGCACUGAAUAGAAAUAACUUCUUUAUCACAGCAAUUCUUUCUCUCCAACUUUUCCCCAAGUGACCAAAGGAAUCCUCAGAAUACUGAUGACACCUCACUCUAUGGCAAAUAACCUUAUGUAGAUGUUCAAUAAGAGAGAGCACCAAUAGGUGCCAGGAUAGGAUCCUUCCUCCUUAAUCAUCACCAACUGGAAUCAACCCCAGAAAAAAGAAGUGAACCAGCACAACAACAUGCUACUCCAGCCCUAAUCCUCUUGAGUUGAUCCAGAAGGAUACCGGGUUUGAUGAACUGAAAGUUGUCGAGGGGUGAAGUAGGGAUAAGAUGCACAGGAACGACCCAAUCCAAAGCUUCAGCUGCCUUUUUGUUCCAAGCAACAUCAAGGCUUUGCAAGACCAUGCAGCAGACCAGCAGGAACAGCACCCAGCUCUCUGGAAGAACAUAUUAACUGUUGUUUUUGCUAAUUUAUCAAUUGCAUAGGAGAAAGUAAAUUAUCUGUGUACCAAAUCAUGCAUCUCUGGUCAGCGUCAGACACUCAAUCAGAAGCAAAAAGUACUGUUCAAAGAGGGAAAUGCAUAGGUCCAGAAUAUUUCUGCAGUUCAAGACUUUAAACUAUAAAAAUUAUUUUAAGUUAGAUGAUAUAAAGAGAAACUAAUAGCAGUUUGGAAAAUAAAGCAAAUAACACCAGCCUGACUCUAUAAUAUCUGAAUUCUGAUCAAGCAUAAAGACUCUUCCUACAGAUGCUAGAGAGUAUAGAAAUGUUUCGUAAAAAUUGUUGUAGAACCCUCUUUCCAAGUAGAUUCAAUCAUGCUGGUAAUUUAGGAAAAGAUAACUUAAGACCCCCCAAAAAGUCCAAAUAUAAUUAGCUUAUCUGAAAUCUUAUUGGGGAGCAAAGGUAUAUUAAAUAUUUUGUGAUUAAAAGCAUCAUUAAAGUUCAGCAACCAGUCUGGUCCUGAAUGGGGGAAAAAAACCUAAUUAAUGUUUGAUAACACUCAGAAAUAAAGCUAAUAAACUCCAAGAAGCUACAAAUAUGCCCUAGUAAAGUCUUGAGUUCCCAGCUCACCAAGACCCUCUUCGCAGGCAUACACUCUUUCUCUUUCCAAAUAAAUCUUGCAUUAAAAAAAGAAAUCCUUGUGUUCAGGCAAUUAUCUGGGUCAAACUGUACAUUAAAAGUUAGCACUGGAAGGUCUAAAACACUUUAUUUUGGGUCACCAUCUUUUUGCUGACUAUUAUAUGGGAAACCUGAAUUUAAUGUCUGCAUCAGUGCUACCAAAUGUCAUCAGCUCCAUUUUUAUUUCUCCUAAUUAGUCGAUGUUUCUUAAAUACCCCUAUGCAACAGAACAUGGAUGAAAACAGAAGGACCAUGCAUGGAUUGUUUCAGCAGCUGGUAUUAUGGAUACAAGUUAAAAAUUGCAUUUCAUGUGCACCUCCACAUUUUCCUUUAAAGGGUCAACAAUAGCAUAAUGCAAAUGGUGGAAAGUGUCUUGCCCCAAGCCAUUUUACUUAAAAUGUUCAAUUUCAGCUUAAAUAUUUAUGCAUUUAAAAUAGUACAAGAUGGGAAUCUCCCUGAAUAUAUGUUGCAUAGUAUGGAAUUUGUAGUUGGAGAUAUGGGGGGGGGUGGCACAAACCACUGUCAAGAUUUCAGCAGGGUGGAGAUGAACCAUGGAAAAAGAAGGGAAGAUGUAUUUAUGGGUUUGAAAACAUUGUAAUAUGAGAACGUGUAAACUCUUUGAACUACAGUAUUUCCUUUUACAUGUAUUAAUGCAGACGCUUACAAUGUGCAAAUUUGUGACAUUGUGUGGGAAGCUUGUUCGAUUGCAUGUUCUCCUAGAUAGGUGCCAGAAGAAAAAGUUGUUGUCAUGGUAAUUGUUUCUUUUGCUGAAUAUUACAUAAAUGAAAAAGCAAGACUCGUUAUAUUAAAAUAAUAUUAUGCCAACCUGAUUCAAUUGAAAUUGGUCAGGACACCAAGGCCAAAGUCCUGUUCCUGUCACUCACUGGACUUUUGAGCAGCUGGAACUUCAAGCGUUGGUCUUUCUCCUUUCUUUUUGCCAUUAUCACUGCCAGCAGCCCAUUGGUUAAUUUGACCAGCAAUCUAGACAGACCAGAUCAUUGAAUUCUCACUGCUUAUGGCAAUGCCAAAACAAUGAUCUGGAAGAAUUAAAAGCCUCCUGGCUUCUUCCUUCUACCCAAGGCCCCUGCUCUAAGCUUCCUGCCUUUCCUCUUCAUUCAAUCAACACUGCUUGAGGAACAUCCCUAGAAGAGUGAUUGCUUCUUUAUUGCUUUCAUGCAAUUGUGGGUAGCAAAACACUGGUUACUGCUUUUCCAAAAAGAAAAAAAAUGGCUUUGAGGGAGAGGUCUGGGAAGACUUAAAGAGGCAGGAUGCUUAACCCUUUCCCCAAAAACCUUUUCUCUAGUCUACCUCAUCCCCCAAGGAUCUCUCUAGGGAAGAGAUAGGCAAUGAUGGCCCCUUUAUGACUGAAUUUAUGAGCUGGUCAUGCUGGCUCUGGAAUUCUGGGAGUUGAAGUCAAUAGGUUGUAAAGUGAGCAUAGCUGCCUACCUCUGUUCUACAGUUCCAAACUUACUCUUGACCUGCUAUUCCUGUUUCUGGCAGAUGUGCUGGAUUAUAGUACCCACACUCCUUAUGUAUUUAAUAUGUUGGCAAAGAAUUGUAGUCGAAGAUACUUAAAAAGUAUGUGUGCCUAUUUGCCCUAGCAUUUCUAACUCCAGUGGAGGGGGGGGGAACUGUAGAUAAGAACCAUUUGGGAAAUGUAGAAGGAAGCAAGAAAAGUAGUAAGUUGCCCAUUCCAUAUUUUUUAGCACUUAGAUUUUUCUUCUGUAAAAAUGUUUAAGGAUGCCAACACUUCUGAUCUGUUAUUCACAUAUAAGUCCCUUAGGAUCUCUGAAUAAACCAUGCACGUAACUGCUGCACUGAAAGGAGAAAUAUUUAAUUUAGUCAUAAACAAAUUCCAACCCACUGUUGCUAAUGAACCAAGUCACAAUUAGUUGUCGAUAAUAACAAAAACAACAUCUAGGUGGAUGGUAAGCCCUGAAGCCAGACAUAAUGGUCCCAUUCGGUACUGCAUAUCCUUUAAAGCCCAAUUAAGGUUUUGAAGUUUUGGAGAGUCAGGCUAUGCUACAUGAAAACUAUUUUAGGGUGUUUUACAGACUUGUCUCAAAAUGGCAAUUUUCAACACGUUUCUAAGCGAGCUUUUGACUACAUCAUCCUAUUAAGCAGGGGGUCUCCUCCUCCUCCCCUUCCUUCCCCCCCUCCUCCUAGGCUGCAACCCAUCAUCCUUUUCUGCCAGUCACUGCUAUGAAACCUGGAAGAGUGAGUGUUGUGACACGGAGAGCCAUAUAAAUCACUUAAAAUAAAAUAAUGCAAAAAAGUUAAUCCCACACUGUAUAGCUCUUUUCUGAGUGAUAACCUCUUUCAGAUGAAUUGUUUCCUGGACCUUGCAGCCUCUGUCUUCUUCCUGUGUUUAAGAGUCUGAUGGUCUGCAAUAAGGCUGAAAACAACAAGUAUUGGCAAGUAUUUGAAGUGCACUGGUGUGGAUUACUGACAUUUUUUGAAAACCUUAACAAAAUAUAUACUGUGAAACCUCUCUUGAAGUCAUUAUUGUUCUUGAUAAUGUUCAAAGCUGUAAUUGUGUGGAUAUUGCAUAAAUACUACAGACUAAGCAAAGCGACAAAACUAUUUUCCUUCCUCAAUGAUGUUGACACUAUUCCUGCAACUUUCCGGAACAGCAGCAUUGGUAAUGUAAAUGAACCAACAGGUGUUUAACAUUUGCGCUAUGCUCUGACCAAAUCAAGACAGACAACACAUUUGUGUGUUUGUUCAGUGAUGUCCAGAUGGCUGUCAAAUUCAAUUUGAACUCAGUGGGUGCUGUUUCUGAAUAAACAUCCUGACAUUCACACAUACAUGUGGAAACAUCGUGGUGACUCCUGAGGGAAAUGCACCUCCUCGGGCAUCUUGUUUGAAACCAAAGACACAUUUGCUCUUCAUAAUGAGAAUGCAAAAUUUUUACUUUUUUUUUUCCUACCAAGAUGCAAACAGUCCAAAUGAAAAAUUUGCAUUUGGUCAUCACAGACUUAUAUAGAGCAACCCAAACCGAAGACAGAAUCUUAGAUAGAUCCUUGCUAAAGUUCAAUCAAGGCAACCAAAGGGAGGGGGAGAAAACAGUAAAAAUAGAAAAAUGGGAUCUUCAAUCCUUAUGCACAUCAUGUUUCAAUAAUUGUGGAGGAUCAGUCUGCUAAUUGUCACUAAGGAGGGCCACCCUACUACCAAUCCAGAAUCCCAUUUAGCAAGGCUAAUGGAGAGAACUGCAGUAGACUAGAUGAGCACCAGCUAUUACUACAGCAUAAAAAGUGAUGCAAGGUGCAUCUGUGGGUCUGUUUAUUGGGUGUUCAUGCUUCGUAGUCUUUGCAAGACUGCCUGUCACAAAUAUUUUAUUUAUAUAUCAUAUUUAGAAACCACCCAGCUCCCUCAUAGAGCAACUCUGGGUGGUGUACAAAUAAACAUAAAAACAAAAGCCAUAUAUAAAUAAUCACAUUAAAAAACAGUUAAAAAUAAGAAUAAAAUAAUUCAAAUUUCAAAGGUGUGGAAGGGGCUUCAGGAUGCUAACCAGCCCCACAACGGCACGCUCUUCUGUGGGCCCUAGCAAGUCAGCAGAGCCAAGUCUUCAAGCAUCUACGAAAGGCCAGGAGAGUGAGGGCCCGCCUCACCUUGUGAUGGUGGGAGGGUAGAGGAUAUAUAGGAACACCAGACUAAAUUGUGGAUUAAACUAUUUUUUUUCUGUGUCACAGCUUAAAUAUUCUCUUGUCAGAACAAUAUGAACAAUUUAAAAGCUCAGCAAUGUAGCCAUGGAAACAAGCACAAAGUCAGUGGUGGUGGGGAGGACUUGCAAGUGGCUGAGGCCAACAGCUGAAUCAUAAAAGGAUAACUAAGAAACCUGUUACAUUGUGAGGGAAGCUAAAAGAAAUCUGUCCAGUUUCAGGUCUGUGGAAAGAAAACACCCAUUGCUGGUUAUCUUCAGUGAUGUCAAGGAGGCGGAGAAGAACGAAGAUAAUGCUCAAGGGAUUCUAGAUGGCCAGAAAUAAUGGAGAAGAUGCUCUGCAAAUCAUUACACCAUAUGAUAUGUGUUGCAAUUAUUAAUUACUUUUUUUUUCAAAUAGACUGUUUUAUUAUCUUCCCUGGGAAAAUAACAGCUUUCAGGAACUCUUUAGACCUUACUCCCAUCUGCUGAAUGAAUGCUAUUCAUUUCAAAACCGGAAGACAAUUUUAUGAGAUGUUAGUUCCACAAUAUAUGGUUUGGCACAAGAAAUGUAUUAUCCAUGCACAUAAUAAUGGAAUUAACAGAACAUCAAGAAUCUGGCUUAAAUGGAGACAAAUAACAUCACCUUGGAAAUUCUAAAGUUGAGAUGAUCAACCUGAAAUUUUCUAUUUGGCACUACAGAGGAUAGAACUGGCUCAAUUACUGAGCUCUCCACAAGACCUGGCUGAGCUCCAUUUGACUCAAGAUUUUCAGGCAGAUGAAGAACUAAUAGCCAUUUUCAUCUUGUCUGAGUUGCCAUGGAAAUGUUCCAGCCCUUCAGAAGGUUACUGUAAGUCAGAUGUUUCAAAGUCUUUUUUUUUUUUCCAAAAAUAUUUGUGGCUGGAAAGUGAGCUCUUUUUUUUUUUU